rnacentral:rRNA from 1 species
UACGUAGGGUGCGAGCGUUAAUCGGAAUUACUGGGCGUAAAGCGUGCGCAGGCGGCGCCAUAAGACAGAUGUGAAAUCCCCGGGCUUAACCUGGGAACCGCGUUUGUGACUGUGGUGCUUGAGUGCGGCAGAGGGGGGUGGAAUUCCACGUGUAGCAGUGAAAUGCGUAGAGAUAUGGAGGAACACCGAUGGCGAAGGCAGCCCCCUGGGUCGACACUGACGCUCAUGCACGAAAGCGUGGGGAGCAAAC